AGGCCUUCGGGUCGUGAACCGCUUUUACAGGGGAGCAAGCUUUCGGGUGUUUAUUUGACGGUACCUAACGAGGAAGCCACGGCUAACUACGUGCCAGCAGCCGCGGUAAUACGUAGGCGGCAUGCGUUGUCCGGAAUUAUUGGGCGUAAAGGGAGCGCAGGCGGGAAACUAAGCGGAUCUUAAAAGUGCGGGGCUCAACCCCGUGAUGGGGUCCGAACUGGUUUUCUUGAGUGCAGGAGAGGAAAGCGGAAUUCCCAGUGUAGCGGUGAAAUGCGUAGAUAUUGGGAAGAACACCAGUGGCGAAGGCGGCUUUCUGGACUGUAACUGACGCUGAGGCUCGAAAGCUAGGGUAGCGAACGGGAUUAGAUACCCCGGUAGUCCUAGCCGUAAACGAUGGAUACUAGGUGUGGGAGGUAUCGACCCCUUCCGUGCCGGAGUUAACGCAAUAAGUAUCCCGCCUGGGGAGUACGGCCGCAAGGUUGAAACUCAAAGGAAUUGACGGGGGCCCGCACAAGCGGUGGAGUAUGUG
rnacentral:rRNA from 1 species